rnacentral:tRNA from 1 species
UGGGUCGUCGUCUAACGGUAGGACUCGGGUUUUUGGUACCCGCUAUCUAGGUUCGAAUCCUAGCGACCCAGCCA